rnacentral:rRNA from 1 species
UACGGGGGGGGGCAAGCGUUGUUCGGAAUUACUGGGCGUAAAGGGCUCGUAGGUGGCCAACUAAGUCAGACGUGAAAUCCCUCAGCUUAACUGGGGAACUGCGUCUGAUACUGGAUGGCUUGAGUUUGGGAGAGGGAUGCGGAAUUCCCGGUGUAGUGGUGGAAUGCGUAGAUAUUCGGCGGAACACCAGUGGCGAAGGCGACUCACUGGCCCGAUACUGACGCUGAGGCGCGAAAGCGUGGGGAGCAAACAGG